rnacentral:rRNA from 1 species
GACGUCCCGAGUUGUAAUUUUGUAGAGGAUGCUUCUGAGUAACCACCGACCUAAGUUUCCUUGGAACAGGACGUCAUAGAGGGUGAGAAUCCCGUAUGCGGUCGGAAAGGUGCUCUAUACGUAGCUCCUUCGACGAGUCGAGUUGUUUGGGAAUGCAGCUCUAAAUGGGAGGUAAAUUUCUUCUAAAGCUAAAUAUUGGCCAGAGACCGAUAGCGCACAAGUAGAGUGAUCGAAAGAUGAAAAGCACUUUGGAAAGAGAGUUAAAAAGCACGUGAAAUUUGUUAAAAGGGAAGGGAUUGCAACCAGACUUGCUCGCGGUGUUCCGCCGGUCUUCUGACCGGUCUACUCGCCGCGUUGCAGGCCAGCAUCGUCUGGUGCCGCUGGAUAAGACUUGAGGAAUGUAGCUCCCUCGGGAGUGUUAUAGCCUCUUGUGAUGCAGCGAGCGCCGGGCGAGGUCCGCGCUUCGGCUAGGAUGCUGGCGUAAUGGUCGUAAUCUGCCCGUCUUGAAACACGGACCAAGGAGUCUAACAUCUAUGCGAGUGUUCGGGUGUCAUACCCCUACGCGUAAUG